AGAUUUUCUAGCUCUUUCUAGAACCUCACUUACAAGUAAAGAGUGAACAAAUGUGGCACCAUGAUUGUACAGAGCGUGAUCUAUGGAGCUCUUGCAUUCCUUCUGGUUGUCAUUAUUAGACACGUGCAUCGACUCAAGCAAUGGAGACGACUCACGGCGCAAACGACAAUGUUAGAUUCAUGGCAUCCGAUUUGGGGACAUUUACACUUGAUGAAUGAUCUAUCUGAUUACAGUCGCCUGGUGAUUGAAAAGGUUCAGACAACUAGAGCAAGGUUAACCAGCACCUGGAUGAUGUUUUUCUACCCAGUGUUCACUGCAUGUCACCCAGACACGGCGAAAAUCCUCUUGAAGUCCUCUGAACCAAAAUCAAAAUAUUCGAUGGGGGCACCAUACAGAAUGAUUCUACCAUGGUUAGGUGAUGGACUGCUUUUAUCAGACGGCAAGAAGUGGGAGAGAAACCGUCGGCUGCUGACUCCCGCCUUCCAUUUUGAUAUUCUCAAACCAUAUGUACAGAUCUAUAAUGAUGUCACAGAAAUAUUCCUUGACAAGCUACAAAAAGCGUGCGAUUCUAGAGAAAACAUUGAAAUAUACAGCCAUGUUUCCCUGGCAACACUAGACAACAUGUUAAGAUGUUCGUUGUCUUACGAGGGCCAUGUGCAAGAAAUGGGAGACAGUCAUCCAUACGUUCGUGCUGUGCGAAAACUUGGGUCUUUAUCUCUGAGAAGAAUUUUGAGUCCGUGGCUGUUCCCUGAUUUUUUAUUUUGGCUAUCCCCCACUGGAAGGGAAUACAAAAGAAAUAUGAAAUAUGUACACGAUUUCGCUGAUGGAAUAAUCGCCUCUCGCAGGAAAAUUGUAGAAAAGAACCCCGGGCAGCUGCAGAAGAACAAAUUGGAUUUUCUGGACAUUUUGAUCACAGCGAAAGACGAAAAUGGUGAAGGUUUAAGUGACCUCGAUAUCAGAGCUGAGGUUGACACGUUUCUGUUCGAAGGACAUGACACAACGGCAUCCGCCAUUAGCUGGGCAAUCUUCUGCCUGGCCAAAUAUCCAGAGGAGCAAGAAAAGAUCUACAAAGAAGUGACGUCAGUUCUUGACGGAAGAUCACAACUUUCAUGGAAUUCCGACCGUCAAGAUUUGAGGACUACAAGAAUCACGACAGGGACCCUUACACAUAUGUUCCUUUUUCAGCCGGUCCAAGGAAUUGUAUCGGUCAAAAUUUUGCUUUGAAUGAAGAAAGGGUGAUGAUUGGUGCUUUAGUCAAACGAUUCAAAGUAGAACUGGUGGAAGGCCACGUAUAUGAGGAGUACCCGGAAGUAGUGAUGAGGCCAAAAUACGGAAUUAAAAUCAAGGUCAAGCAGCGGUGAUCCUCAGUCUGUCAAAUGUAUUUAUACAAAGAAGAUUUGCUCAUAUAUGUGCAACAAGCUGCAUUCUCUGAACCAAGAGUUUAAAGAGGAUCUAACUAAUUUGUACAUUACUAGUAACUUUAAAUAUGUAAUAAACAAUUUUUC
rnacentral:misc_RNA from 1 species